UUGUCCAUGUUGGCCAUGGACAGGCGGCUGCACUUGUCUGUGAUAACCUUGUGCCGAUCGUACGUCCCCGUGACGGCGACAACGCAUUUGGAUGUCUGCCCUAUCAACUUUCAAUGCAAUUUUCCGCGCAUACCAUGGUGACCACGAGUAACGGGGAAUCAGGAUUCGAUUCCAGAGAGGGAGCCUGAGAAACAGCUACCACAUGCAAGGAAGCAGCAGGCGCGUAAAUUUCUCACUCCCGACACGGGGAGGUAGUGACGACAA